AAUCAACGCUGGCGGCGUGCCUAACACAUGCAAGUCGAACGAGAAAGUCCCCGCAAGGGGAUGAGUACAGUGGCGACCGGGUGAGUAACACGUGACUAACCUACCCUGAAGCGGGGAAUAACCUCGGGAAACCGGGGCUAAUACCGCAUACCUUCCAGAGGGGAAGCUCCUGUGGAGGAAACGAGCAAUCGGCUUUAGGAGGGGGUCGCGCCCGAUUACGGUAGUUGGCGGGGUAAUGGCCCACCAAGCCUUUGACGGUAGCCGGCCUGAGAGGGCGCACGGCCACACUGGAACUGAAACACGGUCCAGACUCCUACGGGAGGCAGCAGUGGGGAAGUUUUGCGCAAUGGGGGAAACCCGUGACGCAGCAACGCCGCGUGGAGGAUG
rnacentral:rRNA from 1 species